AACGUGCUCCGGGGUCGGUGUAAUUCCGAGCCGGCGGUGAUAGUCCGCGACCCACGAGUUCCUUGGGGAAUGAGUGGUUGACCUGGUGGAACUCCAGGACCGACGGUGAAAGUCCGGAUGGGAGGCAGCACGCC
rnacentral:ncRNA from 2 species